rnacentral:rRNA from 1 species
AUUGAACGCUGGCGGCAUGCCUUACACAUGCAAGUCGAACGGUAACAGGUCUUCGGAUGCUGACGAGUGGCGAACGGGUGAGUAAUACAUCGGAACGUGCCUAGUAGUGGGGGAUAACUACUCGAAAGAGUGGCUAAUACCGCAUGAGAUCUACGGAUGAAAGCAGGGGAUCGCAAGACCUUGUGCUACUAGAGCGGCCGAAGGCAGAUUAGGUAGUUGGUGGGAUAAAAGCUUACCAAGCCGACGAUCUGUAGCUGGUCGGAGAGGACGAUCAGCCACACUGGGACUGGGACACGGCCCAGACUCCUACGGGAGGCAGCAGUGGGGAAUUUUGGACAAUGGGCGCAAGCCUGAUCCAGCAAUGCCGCGUGCAGGAUGAAGGCCUUCGGGUUGUAAACUGCUUUUGUACGGAACGAAAAGCCCUGGGUUAAUACCCUGGGGUCAUGACGGUACCGUAAGAAUAAGCACCGGCUAACUACGUGCCAGCCGCCGCGGUAACAC